rnacentral:rRNA from 1 species
UACGAAGGGGGGCUAGCGUUGCUCGGAAUCACUGGGCGUAAAGCGCGCGCAGGCGGUCCUUUUAAGUCUGAUGUGAAAAGCCCCACGGCUCAACCGUGGAGGGGUCAUUUGGAAAACUGGGGGGGACUUGAGUGCAGGAGAGAAAGAGUGGAAUUUCCACGUGUAGCGGUGAAAAUGCGUAGAGAUGUGGAGGAACACCAGUGGCGAAGGCGACUCUUUGGCCUGUAACUGACGCUGAGGCGCGAAAGCGUGGGGGAGCAAACAGG